UUUAGCUGGGUGCUCGGGGUCAAUGGCCGCGCCGCCGCCAUCUCCGCGUCGGAACUGUCCUAUGGAAAUCCUCGAUGGAGAUGUUGUCCCUCCACCGCCUCCCUUACGCAUUGAAGCUACUGUUUCUCACCAAGGGCAUGCGUUAAUUGAAGAAGUUGCUGCAGCUACAACACUUUGCUCCCUUUAUCUAGAGACCCAAGAUUCUCACCAAGGAUGUGGAGUCUCACGAGAAAAACGAAGACUCCCAAAACCCCCACCAAAGAAGAUGCCGAGGUCGCCUUAGUGGUGCCCGUAGUGGGAUCCCCAGGGGUAAAUGUCAUGUUAUCUCAGGCAUCACCAAGAUUCGGUGUGAAACGAUCGUCGACAACACCGCCUCAGAUUCCUCGUCUUUCACGUAGAAACAAAAAACGGAAACUUAAAUCUGAAAUCUGGAAUGAUUUUGAUCCUGUGUAUGAUGGCAACAAACUCAAGGAAGCCAAUUGUAAACAUUGCAAGAGAAUUUUUGUGGUUGCAAGAAAAGCUGGUACUAGUGAAUGCAUUAGGCAUUUGUUAGUUUGUGAGGAAA